AGGUGUAAGAAGUGCGAUCGACCGAUAGCCUCCGAGGGGAUGCUUAUUUCUCCUAGGCACCUGAUCCCACUCUGGUGUUUCCAGGGGUCCGUGUUUGCCAUACUCUCCAUUCUGCGUUCCUUAUAGGAUUUAUGAGAAGGGUUACUGUUUGUUAUCGUCACCUUUUGUAAAGACAUACCUUCAGACAUCCUUUAAAGCCCCAUUUUACAUGAAAACACACCACUUCAAGAAUAUUGCUUGUUAUCCUCUCACAAUGGAUAUAACAACGGGACUCUUCAGCGCCAUCAUCUCGACAAACAGAGGAAAGCAUUGUCAUCCCCCCUCCCCGAUGUCCGACCCAUAUUUGAAUCGAUCGAUUUUACAAGUAUUUCAGGAUCCGCCGAUUGAGAUAAUGCAAAUAGUUUUGCGCUACACUCAACGGAACCAAAACGAAACCAGAAUGGCGGAAGAAGAAAACACAACAAUCAGAAAAGCUUUCACGGUGAUUACGUCUCCCAUUUGGGUCCCAGUAGCGGCCGCGGGGUCACUGGUGGCUGCACCGUUCCAGGCUGUGAAGGAUUCUGUAGAAGUGGCAGAUAAAACGAACUCUCCUGGAGCAGGGGUGUCGAGUUAUCCCGGAAAUGCUGUUGUCCGAGUGGUAACAAAUCCUUUUAAAGGCGUGGCAAAGGUCGGUGAGGCAAUGUGGGGAAAGAAAUAACAGAAUGGAAAUAUCGAAGGCAGUGAUGAUGGAGACAAGGGAAUUGGGAACAUUUUGUGAUGUACAUUUUCUAUAUGAUCAGCACUUAGUUUUGUGAAAAAUAAAGUUUCAUUGAAUGGC